GAUGAACGCUGGCGGCGUGCCUAAUACAUGCAAGUCGAGCGAACGGACGAGAAGCUUGCUUUUCUGAUGUUAGCGGCGGACGGGUGAGUAACACGUGGAUAACCUACCUAUAAGACUGGGAUAACUUCGGGAAACCGGAGCUAAUACCGGAUAAUAUUUUGAACCGCAUGGUUCAAAAGUGAAAGACGGUCUUGCUGUCACUUAUAGGUGGAUCCGCGCUGCAUUAGCUAGUUGGUAAGGUAACGGCUUACCAAGGCAACGAUGCAUAGCCGACCUGAGAGGGUGAUCGGCCACACUGGAACUGAGACACGGUCCAGACUCCUACGGGAGGCAGCAGUAGGGAAUCUUCCGCAAUGGGCGAAAGCCUGACGGAGCAACGCCGCGUGAGUGAUGAAGGUCUUCGGAUCGUAAAACUCUGUUAUUAGGGAAGAACAUAUGUGUAAGUAACUGUGCACACCUUGACGGUACCUAAUCAGAAAGCCACGGCUAACUACGUG
rnacentral:rRNA from 1 species